GCUCGCGUAGCUCAGUGGAUGAGAGCGUCGCGCUACGAACGCGAAGGCCGGAGGUUCGAAUCCUUCCGCGAGCGCCA
rnacentral:tRNA from 1 species